rnacentral:rRNA from 11 species
CCAAGAUCAUUUUUAUCGCAUUUGUGAAAUUUUCAUUUCUCCGACUUUGCAGACACUGACUGACUGAGUUAGGGGUAGUAUCCCUAUAUAACAUGGCGAGUAAGAGCAGGUGUAAAUAGUGAAAUCACUUACCAACAAAUUGAUAGGGCAGACAUUUGAAGAUCGGUCGCCGACACAACAGUGUGGUGUCGGAAUAGUAAUACAAGACCACCAAGAUCAUUUUUAUCGCAUUUGUGAAAUUUUCAUUUCUCCGACUUUGCAGACACUGACUGACUGAGUUAGGGGUAGUAUCCCUAUAUAACAUGGCGAGUAAGAGCAGGUGUAAAUAGUGAAAUCACUUACCAACAAAUUGAUAGGGCAGACAUUUGAAGAUCGGUCGCCGACACAACAGUGUGGUGUCGGAAUAGUAAUACAAGACCACCAAGAUCAUUUUUAUCGCAUUUGUGAAAUUUUCAUUUCUCCGACUUUGCAGACACUGACUGACUGAGUUAGGGGUAGUAUCCCUAUAUAACAUGGCGAGUAAGAGCAGGUGUAAAUAGUGAAAUCACUUACCAACAAAUUGAUAGGGCAGACAUUUGAAGAUCGGUCGCCGACACAACAGUGUGGUGUCGGAAUAGUAAUACAAGACCACCAAGAUCAUUUUUAUCGCAUUUGUGAAAUUUUCAUUUCUCCGACUUUGCAGACACUGACUGACUGAGUUAGGGGUAGUAUCCCUAUAUAACAUGGCGAGUAAGAGCAGGUGUAAAUAGUGAAAUCACUUACCAACAAAUUGAUAGGGCAGACAUUUGAAGAUCGGUCGCCGACACAACAGUGUGGUGUCGGAAUAGUAAUACAAGACCACCAAGAUCAUUUUUAUCGCAUUUGUGAAAUUUUCAUUUCUCCGACUUUGCAGACACUGACUGACUGAGUUAGGGGUAGUAUCCCUAUAUAACAUGGCGAGUAAGAGCAGGUGUAAAUAGUGAAAUCACUUACCAACAAAUUGAUAGGGCAGACAUUUGAAGAUCGGUCGCCGACACAACAGUGUGGUGUCGGAAUAGUAAUACAAGACCACCAAGAUCAUUUUUAUCGCAUUUGUGAAAUUUUCAUUUCUCCGACUUUGCAGACACUGACUGACUGAGUUAGGGGUAGUAUCCCUAUAUAACAUGGCGAGUAAGAGCAGGUGUAAAUAGUGAAAUCACUUACCAACAAAUUGAUAGGGCAGACAUUUGAAGAUCGGUCGCCGACACAACAGUGUGGUGUCGGAAUAGUAAUACAAGACCACCAAGAUCAUUUUUAUCGCAUUUGUGAAAUUUUCAUUUCUCCGACUUUGCAGACACUGACUGACUGAGUUAGGGGUAGUAUCCCUAUAUAACAUGGCGAGUAAGAGCAGGUGUAAAUAGUGAAAUCACUUACCAACAAAUUGAUAGGGCAGACAUUUGAAGAUCGGUCGCCGACACAACAGUGUGGUGUCGGAAUAGUAAUACAAGACCACCAAGAUCAUUUUUAUCGCAUUUGUGAAAUUUUCAUUUCUCCGACUUUGCAGACACUGACUGACUGAGUUAGGGGUAGUAUCCCUAUAUAACAUGGCGAGUAAGAGCAGGUGUAAAUAGUGAAAUCACUUACCAACAAAUUGAUAGGGCAGACAUUUGAAGAUCGGUCGCCGACACAACAGUGUGGUGUCGGAAUAGUAAUACAAGACCACCAAGAUCAUUUUUAUCGCAUUUGUGAAAUUUUCAUUUCUCCGACUUUGCAGACA